GCAUUACUGGUGGGUGUUUUGUGAAAGACACAGGUAGUGAGAUAGUGUAUGGUAAACAUCUCGCUACUUUGGUCUCUCUCCAUAGCACCUUGCCAAAAUCU